rnacentral:lncRNA from 1 species
UAGUUUCCCCCUACACCAAGCACUAUCCCUUCUGAGCUCCCUAGGCCACACUACUAGGCUAAAAGACUCCGCCGGCUGUCCGGCCGCCCCUCAGCGGCCGUUUGCCACAAGCCUGCAGCUGGCAAAGCCUGGCGUGGAGGCGUCUGCGAUUGACCGGCGAAGAAGGGAAAGGGAAACUUGUUAAUCCAUGAUUGAUUUCUUUUCAGAACUAGCCAGAGACACAAUGGAUUUCAAGCUAAAUUGCGUUCCCCAAUCCACUUUGAACUGUAUGAAUGCGAAUGAAUAAUCUUAUUAGGGACAAUAAUACGGCACGGGAGUUUCAUGCCCUCAAAGCAGGAACAAACGCUAAAACUGAAUACAUACAUAGUUCUAAAUCUUCUACUAAAAUUUUCCUGCAGCGUUAGAGGCCUUUAAUUCAUAUUGGCGAACGAUGCUUCCCGAGCUACCGGGAUACUGUAGGUUCAACAUGUAUAUGUAACAUGUACAUUUACAGAAAUGUACUAAAAUGAAUUCACGAAAUGCGCAGCAAAUAAGAUGAGUAGCCUAUAGGCCCAUGUCCAUAGUCCAGGGCAACGGAGGGGGUUACCCUGGGGCCGUGUUACCCCUCCUGCUGGGUAGGAACUUACAAGGGG